rnacentral:lncRNA from 1 species
CAAUUAUGACCAAAGGCAAGGUGAAAUCUGACAGAAGAUCUACUUUACCCAACUCCAAACCCUGAGAUAGGGAUUAUUUCUAGAUAGACAACUCCUCUGCUAUAUUUGAAAAGAAAAAGGUCAACGGUGGCAGGAUUCAAAGCUCUCAGUAGCUGCAAAACUCAGACCUCUUAUGAAGUAGGAGGGUCACUCCCUGCUUUCAUGAGCUCCAAAAACAGUGAUAUCAAGUAACCAUAGCUGGAAAGAAGGGGAAAAUAACUUUUAUAAGAGGUGGAAUACCACUGAUAUUUUUAUUUUAUCAGAACAGUAUUGUAAAAAGAGACAUCAGUUUAAAUGUUUAAAGUUAACCAGUGAGAAAUCCAUCAACUAACCCUGACAUAGAGUUAAGAGUCAUGAGAAACAUAACUAAUAUUAUUAAAAUGCCUGGUAAAGGUGGGGGGAUGCAGGGUGAAAAUAAAUGGCUGGUAAAAACAUGAAAGAUUAAGAUCUUCCCAUGAAUAUGGAUCUAACAAUAACUGCAUUUGUUCAUUUUACACUUUGAGGAUCAUUUUAUAUAUGCUUGAAUCAAAGCUCUAAUGGAAAGAUCACAAGCAAAUCCAGGUUUCUACAACAAACAGAGAGGUGCCCAAGCCAAGCAUAUCCUUCUGUACAAAGCUUCUUUAGAAAAACCACAGACCUGUGUGGUCUCAGUCUGUUUACCUGGCUGGCAAAAGGAACCACUGGAAAAUAAGCAAAGGAAGUCAUGAAAAAUAGUCACGAAUGGAUUACUGUGGGUUGUCCCAGAGACAAAAAAAAAAAAACAAAACAAAACAGUGGAGAAUCCUUCAAGAAAUGUGGCAGUAUUCAGCCUAGAGUUUUUGGUAAGCAAAGAAAGUCACAAAUUUCCAUAUGUACUCCAAAACAUAAACUAACCUUGAUGUUUCAACAGGGGCCAGCACUCUUUCUACAAAGAACCAAACAAAAAUAUUUUCGAUUCCAUGGGACAGUCCAGUCUCUCACACCUACUCAAUUCUGCCAUUUUAGUGCAGAAGUAAUCAUAAGUUCAGCUCAAUUCAGUCACUCAGUCGUGUCCAACUCUUUGCGACCCCAUGAAUCGC